rnacentral:tRNA from 1 species
GCCUGGCUGGCUCAGCUGGUAGAGCAUGUGACUCUUGAUCUCAGGGUUGUAAGUUCGAACCCCACAUAGGGUG